AUUUAAUUGAAGCUAUUUCAGAACAUUAAAUUUUUAGUUAUAAAAGGGAUCAAACUUUUGUUUAUUUAUAACAUGCAAAGGAUGGAACAUAUGACUAAAAUUCAAUUUUGUGUUUAUGUUUUGAUCAUAUUUCUGUCUUUAUUUCUUGUUGUAACUUGUGGUAAAGUUUACGAAUGUUAUAAUUACAUUGAUUGUCCAGUUGGUUGUCGCGCCUGUUAUAUGAGGUGCAUUGAUGGCCAGUGUAUUCCGUUUAUUAAAAAACUUAUAUAAUUUCAUUUGUACGUCAUAGUAUAGUAAGUAUUUGUAUUUUUAUAUAAUUUACCUCAAAGUUUGAUUUAUAA